CCCUUAGAUGUCCUGGGCAGCACGCGUGCUACAAUGAUGCAUUCAACGAGUCUUGCCUUAACCGAAAGGUUCGGGUAAACUUUUGAAAUUGCAUCUUGUCGGGGCUUGAUCAUCGUAAUUUUUGAUCACAAACAAGGAAUUCCUUGUAAAUGUGAGUCAUCAACUUGCAUUGAAUACGUCCCUGCCCUUUGUACACACCGCCCGUCGCUUCUACCGAUGAAUGAUCCGGUGAACACUCUGGACUUGUUGUCUGUCGGAGCAAUCCAAAGACGAUAGGGAAGUUGUGUAAACCUUAUCAUUUAGAGGAAGAAGAAGUCGUAACA
rnacentral:rRNA from 1 species